rnacentral:sRNA from 1 species
GAGGACUUUGAAAAGA